ensembl:lncRNA
CCUCCGGGGAGCCCCACCCCUGGGCCUGAUCCGAGCUUCCUGGGAGGCGGGCAUCAGGGCCCAGGAGCGAGCCCACCGGCUCCCCGAGAUGCUGUCCCGCCUGCGGGGGCCCGGGCCGCCCCCCACUCCCCGCCCCGCAGUGCAGCAUCUCAGCCUUUCACCAGCACGGCAGCCACGGUCCACGGAACCGCAGGGGCCGGGACGGAAGCUUCUCAGUCUCGGUCUCUUGCCCCCCUUUCACCUGCGGCACAUCGAUGGGCACGGCACCCCAGCCUUGCCCGCUGGGCAGUCUCUUGGCGUCUGCGCAGGGCUGGGGUUUCCACCCCCAGCCCGGGUUUCCGCCUGAGGUCCACGUGCUGGCGUCACGGGCCCACCCGCCCUCCUGCUCUCAGGUUUGGGUCGGGGGGCCAGCCCUGCCGCGCCCUCCUCCCCUCGAGUGUGUAUUCCGUGCCUUCUCUCCCAGGUCUCCCGCUCAGGCUCGGGAAGGCGGGGGAGGCUUCCUCGGUCGUUAACACCAGAACCGUUCGGCCUUAAUUCCAGGUGUGGGUGAUGGGGCCCUGCGUGCCGGGUGGACUCCCAGAGUCCAGGGAACACCUCGGGGUGCAGGGGGUUGCUUGUUAGAGGCCCGUCCAGGUGGGUAGACAUCUGGUGGCUCUGUUGGCCAAGAAGGCAGAGGUGCGAGCCCCUCCCAUGGUGUAGAGGUCCCAGCUCCAGACUUUGCUGCUCUGGGGCUGGGGGCUGAAGUUGGCAGGGUCAGCAGCUGGCAGCCGCUGUCCACGAUGCCCUGCCACUGAGCAAUGAGCUCAGUAGACACGGGUGAGUGGAGAGACGUCCCCAGAGGAGGGCAGCCUUUUGAAAACGUCCUCAGGGACAAGGGCCCUGUGCAGGUGCGCAGACCCAGGCCCUGGGCAUGUUCCGGGACUAGAGGGUGCCUGUCAGCCAUUCUGGGCCCGGCCAUCUACCAACCACAAGCACAGAGUGGGGUGCCCACACACCCUUCCUGGCUCCUGGCGCCCCAGCAGAGCCCCCCCAGGUCCACCAGGAGCCCCAACUCCUUGAGGCUUCUCUCCCAGACCGCUCCUCCCCAGCCCCGCUUUGCAGACACGCCCCAUGGGGCUCUGGCUCCCCUGGAAUCCAGCUGUCAGCAGCUCGGCGUCUUCUGCAGACAACAGCAGCGGGGGUCAGCUUAUGAGCAAAGUGGCUCCUUUUCCCACAAGGCUCAGUCCAUCCACGUGUCCCCUGCAGUGUGCUGCCACGCGACAGAGGCACUCCGGGGAUCCCUUUGGUCCCACUCACCUUCUGCUGACGGCAGAGCCCUCAGUGCUUGCAAGGGCUGAGGGCACAUGGUUCUUUCUCUUUCCUCUGAAGAGAGACCAGGUUUGGGGAAACGUGACUUAAACCUUUACUUCUGGACAUCCGAAGUGCAGUGGCUCAAGUUCUCAUUUAGAGUUGGCUCUUCUUAAAAAUCAGCUGUUUAAGAUGCUUGCAGAAAACCCCAACUCCAUGACCCGCCACCCUGCCCCCCCCGAGAUGGUGUCAGAAGCCGCAGGUUGUAGAGCAUCGUGGGCGUUUGGGCGCUGGGCAGGUCCCGCCAAAGGGCACAGCCCCCCUGGGGAGCCAGACCAGGCGGCUCGUCGUCUUUGAGCCGAUCCAGGAGACCCCGGGGCGUCCAGCAGCGGGUGCAUGGACGGGAGAGGACGUGCCGGCGCCCCCUGGCCUCAAGGAGCCUGGGUGGGAGGCAUGAUACCUGACCCACACCCAGUGGCCACAGCGGGCAUGCGCCCUGAACAGCAGCCCUUCCCCUGGAUGCCAUUCCUCCAGGCCGGGAAGGGACGCAGCAGUGGUGCGUGUCACAGAGCUGUAGUGCGCGUGGCCCCCUCGGACCCUGCCAGCCACCCCCCACCCCUUCUCAGGCCUGGUGGCGGGGAAGGACGAGCCGUGGCCCCACCCGCCCCAUCUCCCUGCAGGCUGCUCCUGGGACCCAUGAGGCAGAAGGGCUUGCAGCCCAGGGCAGGGUUUGGCCCUUCCCAGCCUCCUCAGGCCUCUCUUGGCUGUUCCUGCUCCCACAGAAGCUCCCCGCCCAAGCCCACGACAGCAGCAAGGAGGGGAGAGGAUGACCAGUGAUCCCUCAGAGAAAGAGGCAGCUGUGGGGUGGCUUCAUGUCCGUCUUCCCAUCAAAGAGAGCAGCCCCCAUCUGUCUAUAGGAGGUGCUGCCUGAGGCCCGUCUCUGGGCUCUGCUCCCCCGGCACCAGGACUCCUGGUCUUGAAGGGAGACUCUCUCUGACCACCCUGGGGUGAGGGGUGUCCCUAGGGGGCAGCAGGCCAGCUGGUGCCUCCUUCCCAGCCCCGAACCUCACUUCUGCCAGGACCCUGCCUAGUGCAGCCCAUGAACUCCUGCCUGUAAGGGGGAACUGAGGAAGUUCAGAGCUAGGAGGGAGGGCUGUGCCAGGCUGUCCGCCUGCCCGGGGGCCUGGAAGGACAAGAGCAGGGUCGUGCAUUUGAAGGGUGUGGGGGCUUCCUGUUGGGGCACCCUCACUAAAGCCGCCGACUAACAGAGGCCGCUGCCCGUGGGGCCGGGCCGGGCAUCGGGGCGGCAGCCUCAGCGUUUACAUUACCGCAUACCCUCUUGCCUUACUCGCGGUGGAGGCCAGGGCCUGUGCAGCGCCCGUGGGCAGACACGACUCCCAGGCCCCUGGAGAGCUCGUGAGGAUUUUCACUCUCAGAAAGCCUUACUUUUCAACAAAAUUUUUGUAGCAGGAAAAGUUUUUGUGAAUUUGUAUACACUGAAAGAAAUUUUAAAAUGCAAAGUCCACCUUAGAAAGGAAACAAACCCGUUGUCCACAAGGGGCCCCAGAGCAAGGUCGGGGAGGGGCAGCCUGUGCGCUUCCACACUCUGGCUGGUGCUGCCUGAGCCUCCAGCCCACGCCCUGGACAGACGCCCCACCACGGGCUCGAGUUUCACGCACCCUGGCCUGGAGGCAGGUCAUCCACACGAUGACUGUGUCAGAUCCCACAGCCUGGGGUGCAGGCGGUCCUCACGCCCCGGCUCUGGGGGCAGCAACCCAGCCAGGACAGCGCCUCCAUGUAGGCGAUGGUGCCGCCGCUUGCCGCAGGCUCACGGUGGCCGGACCCCUCCCACUGGCGCCUCUUUAAAGAGAAAAGAAAAGGAUUUAAUUAAAAAAAAAAAAAAAAUCCCAGACCACAGCAGAAAUCUUAUACCUAGCUAGAAUAGUCCAAUCUUCUAGCAUAGUCUCCUUGGCAAAGAAAUUGUGUCCCAGUGUGGGGGCCCACGUCCCGGGCGCGGGUGCCCGCGGGUUGGCCGUCUCCGGGGUCACGUGUGCUUUCCCAGCAGCACCCGUCGGUGCCCUGGAGCUUCAGGAAGCGUGGUGGCUGGAAAAUGGGCCACACUGGGCCCGGCCCCUGCCCGGGUGAAGCGCUGUGCAGGAUGGCGCUGGGUCUGCCACCCACCGCAGCCUGCCCUCUGCGCAGGCCACAACUAUCUUGCACUAGGGCCGCUCUAGUCUCUCAGGAAUCUGCUUGUUACUUUUACUGUGUAAAUAAAGCUUCCUGGUUCAGUACCCA